UACAGAGGGGGCAAGCGUUGUUCGGAAUUACUGGGCGUAAAGGGCGCGUAGGCGGCCGCCUAAGUCAGACGUGAAAUCCCUCGGCUCAACCGGGGAACUGCGUCUGAUACUGGGUGGCUUGAAUCCGGGAGAGGGAUGCGGAAUUCCAGGUGUAGCGGUGAAAUGCGUAGAUAUCUGGAGGAACACCGGUGGCGAAGGCGGCAUCCUGGACCGGCAUUGACGCUGAGACGCGAAAGCGUGGGGAGCAAACAGG
rnacentral:rRNA from 1 species